rnacentral:rRNA from 1 species
GACGAACGCUGGCGGCGUGCUUAACACAUGCCAGUCGAACGGAAAGGCCCUGCUUUUGUGGGGUGCUCGAGUGGCGAACGGGUGAGUAACACGUGAGUAACCUGCCCUUGACUUUGGGAUAACUUCAGGAAACUGGGGCUAAUACCGGAUAGGAGCUCCUGCUGCAUGGUGGGCGUUGGAAAGUUUCGGCGGUUGGGGAUGGACUCGCGGCUUAUCAGCUUGUUGGUGGGGUAGUGGCUUACCAAGGCUUUGACGGGUAGCCGGCCUGAGAGGGUGACCGGCCACAUUGGGACUGAGAUACGGCCCAGACUCCUACGGGAGGCAGCAGUGGGGAAUAUUGCACAAUGGGCGGAAGCCUGAUGCAGCAACGCCGCGUGCGGGAUGACGGCCUUCGGGUUGUAAACCGCUUUCGCCUGUGACGAAGCGUGAGUGACGGUAAUGGGUAAAGAAGCACCGGCUAACUACGUG